rnacentral:rRNA from 1 species
UACAGAGGUCUCAAGCGUUGUUCGGAUUCAUUGGGCGUAGAGGGUGCGUAGGCGGCGCGGUAAGUCGGGUGUGGAAUCUCGGAGCUUAACUCCGAAACUGCAUUCGAUACUGCCGUGCUUGAGGACUGGAGAGGAGACUGGAAUUUACGGUGUAGCGGUGAAAUGCGUAGAUAUCGUAAGGAAGACCAGUGGCGAAGGCGGGUCUCUGGACAGUUCCUGACGCUGAGGCACGAAGGUCAGGGGAGCAAACGGG